rnacentral:rRNA from 1 species
GACGAAUGCUGGCGGCGUGCCUAAUACAUGCAAGUCGAACGCUUCCUACCGGUGCUUGCACCGGGAAAGAAGAGUGGCGGACGGGUGAGUAACACGUGGGUAACCUACCUACAAGCGGGGGAUAACAUUCGGAAACGGAUGCUAAUACCGCAUAGAUCUUUUUGUCUCCUGGCAGAAAGAAGAAAGACGGUUUCGGCUGUCAGUUGUAGAUGGACCCGCGGCGCAUUAGUUAGUUGGUGAGGUAAUGGCUCACCAAGACGAUGAUGCGUAGCCGACCUGGGAGGGUGAUCGGCCACACUGGGACUGAGACACGGCCCAGACUCCUACGGGAGGCAGCAGUAGGGAAUCUUCCGCAAUGGACGAAAGUCUGACGGAGCAACGCCGCGUGAGUGAAGAAGGUUUUCGGAUCGUAAAACUCUGUUGUUAGAGAAGAACAAGGAUGAGAGUAACUGCUCGUCCCUUGACGGUAUCUAACCAGAAAGCCAUGGCUAACUACGUGCCAGCCGCCGCAGUAA